AGCGAACGCUGGCGGCAGGCCUAAUACAUGCAAGUCGAGCGCACCUUCGGGUGAGCGGCGGACGGGUGAGUAACGCGUGGGAGCGUGCCCUUUGGUACGGGAUAACUGAGGGAAACUUCAGCUAAUACCGUAUGUGCCCUACGGGGGAAAGAUUUAUCGCCAUUGGAGCGGCCCGCGUUGGAUUAGGUAGUUGGUGGGGUAAAGGCCCACCAAGCCUACGAUCCAUAGCUGGUCUGAGAGGAUGAUCAGCCACACUGGGACUGAGACACGGCCCAGACUCCUACGGGAGGCAGCAGUAGGGAAUCUUGCGCAAUGGGCGAAAGCCUGACGCAGCCAUGCCGCGUGAAUGACGAAGGUCUCAGGAUUGUAAAAUUCUUUCACCGGGGAAGAUAAUGACGGUACCCGGAGAAGAAGCCCCGGCUAACUUCGUGCCAGCCGCCGCAGUAAUAC
rnacentral:rRNA from 1 species